GAGAGUAUUAGGAGUCAAAGAGGCUCCUGUGAAGCAGAGAAACGGCGCAGCGUCAGCACAGAAGAGCUGGAGAACCAUCAUCUGUCACAGACACGAAGAAGAAUUGCUGUGGAAGUAGUCUGGAAAGAUACCAUUGCAAAACAGAGACAUCUUCUUGAGCCCCUUCUUUUCUUCUUGCCAUGGGCAACUACGCAUUUACUGCAGAUGUCGAAGAUUUCAAGUCCAUCGUGUCGACUCUAGAGAACCAGCGCAUUCUGAGCGAACACAGCAGACUGCAGAACAUGCUCUCUCUGAAUCAUGCUGUUGAGGAAGAAACAGGACAGCAGAUGAAUGAAGUGACUCAGGAACCAGACCUGCUGGCCCUCAAGUUUCUGUACAGUAACACAGACACCGCAGUAAGUCUGUUUGCAAGAAAAAGCCAUUGUUCUGUGGAUUUUCCCUAAUG
rnacentral:lncRNA from 1 species